ensembl:lncRNA
UAUAGAAGAAGCCUGCCUCCCUCCCCAUGCCCGGAACAAUCCAUUUCCCCCCCUUCCGAUGAGGCAGUUUAAUGAGGAUAAUCCCCAGGAGAUGCAGCCUUCCGUGUACAGUAGUGCUGUGUGUUCCAGAAGAGGGAGAAGGCGGCAGCACCGCCGUUGGAUACGAAAAGAGGGACGGUUUAGACAGAGAUACAACAACAAGGCAGUACAGUCAUCUGUUGUGGCGAGCAGCGUCAGGAACAGAGAGAGACCCGGACUGACAGCAUUUUCUCGGGAGGAGAAUCAACAAGGACUUGAAUCGGGCUACUGUCUCGCCCUCUUCAACAGAGGGGAUAUAAGGGCAUACACACCCAAACACAAGGGAGGAAAAGUAACGUCACAACCAGUUCUGUUAAUUUGAGAAUCAAUGAGGCUGUUCGCGACAGGCUGGGUCUAUCCAGCAGGCACGUGGUGUCACACACAACCGGGUCUCACCAGUGGUGACGGUGCGAGAUGAGAAGAGCUGCCUGCAGCUGAGGUGACGGAGCAGAUGUUUAAAACCGGUAUAAUAUGUGAAAUUAAAACAUACAGCGUUUGCGAUUCGUUGCGAUGCAAUGAGUUGAGCCGUGAAAGAGUUGGGAUGCAUGUGACCGUUAAGCGGGAAGAAAAUCACUGCCAAGUAUCCACCAGGUCGCCUGGAAACUCACCUUGGAGGAAGAAACCAACAGUAGUUCCAAAAAUCUCAAGUCCAGACCUGGAGUCCCUUCGGUCACAUGAACCCGAGGCUCAUGUUCUUUCUGCUCGCGGGUCUACAGGCGGCUGCAAAAAAAAGGCACUAUUCCGUAGAAAACAGGAUUACUGCUCGACCGACAGGGAGUUCCUUGCUCAAAGACGACACGGGCAACUCGCAAAAGGAGUCAGGGAAAUACAAAGGACUUUCUCCACGCCCAGGUGCCGGUCACAUGAUGGUUCCUUCCAGGUGUGUAUCUCUUCGGGAGCUCUCGCUUUGGUCAGGAACACACACCUGUGGGAUACGCGUAGGCUGCUGCUGCUGCUGCCGCCUUCUGCCCAGACGAGAGACGUAGCGUUUGAGGAACAGGAAGUGAUGGGAAGGCGCGCGAGGAGGGGGGGACCUGGAAUGAAUUCCCCUCCCACUCCAAACACCGGGAAAACAACUCAUGGGAGAUAAGGCUGCGCGUGGAUAAAGAACACGGAGUAGAACGCACAUAAACUAGUAUAAGGACGGUUCAACAUGAUGGACCGAUGCUAAACCGCUACUAGGCUAUUACAGCACUUUAGCGCGAUAAUCUAUGGUUUGUAUUUAUGAUAGAUCUAGUCAGCAAGUCGGCUCAGAAUCUUUGUUGUUGC